UACAGAGGUCUCAAGCGUUGUUCGGAUUCAUUGGGCGUAAAGGGUGCGUAGGUGGCAUGGUAAGUCGGAUGUGAAAUCCCGGGGCUCAACCCCGGAACUGCAUUCGAUACUGCUGCGCUAGAGUACUGGAGAGGAGAUUGGAAUUUACGGUGUAGCAGUGAAAUGCGUAGAUAUCGUAAGGAAGACCAGUGGCGAAGGCGGAUCUCUGGACAGUUACUGACACUGGAGGCAGCGAAGGCCAGGGGAGCAAACGGG
rnacentral:rRNA from 1 species